UAUAAAAUGCCUGAAAAAGGGUUAUUCUGAUAGAGUAAAUUAUGUAAUUUAAAUUACUUUUAUAA
rnacentral:tRNA from 2 species